UGGGAUGUGGUGUAAUUGGUAACACAGAUGAUUCUGGUUCAUCCGUUUCUGGUUCGAGUCCAGGCAUCCCAGCCA
rnacentral:tRNA from 1 species